AGGGCCUCAAAGGUCUUCAGACCACAGUCCACCAAGAAGGCUUCAUUUGGAAUGCAGGAAUCCGAAGAGCUUUCUGCAGAGCAGUUGUGUGGAUUCAGAGAAAUAUUGCCAAGUACCUGGCACUUAGGCAGGCAUUUUGGGAGAGCCCAGCAAGCUGUAACCAUAAUGGAUAACAGUGGCGGAUGGGAAUGGUGUGUUUGAGACAACUUCAGCUGGAUUUCCGUCCCUUGCCAGCAAAGGAUUCCUGACUGACACGCCCAGAGGCCGGCUGAGGUGAGGCCGUAAAAGAACCAGUGGGUUGGCUCUGCGGCUGGGACCGUCCAUGCCUGGCUCCCGCGUGGGAAAGGCUGGCUUCCUUGCCUGUCAAGCAGCUCUUACAUCUGGUGUCUCCCCGGAGGGGGACAGAUACUGCCGAUGGAGGGUACUGAUGUCACGGUCAAAUGCCCUCUCCAACCGCCACCCCUCAAAUCCUCUGAGUAAACU
ensembl:lncRNA